rnacentral:rRNA from 1 species
UACGUAGGGUCCGAGCGUUGUCCGGAGUUACUGGGCGUAAAGCGCGCGCAGGCGGCGGUGCUGGCCCGGCGUGAAAGCCCCCCGGCUCAACCGGGGGAGGGUCGUCGGGGACCGCACCGCUUGAGGGCGGUAGGGGCUGGUGGAAUGCCUGGUGUAGUGGUGAAUGCGUAGAGAUCAGGCGGAACACCCGUGGCGAAGGCGGCCAGCUGGGCCGUCCCUGACGCUGAGGCGCGAAGGCGUGGGGAGCGAACGGG